GGAUUAGAUACCCUGGUAGUCCACGCCGUAAACGAUGUCUACUAGUUGUUGGGAGACUUGAUCUCUUAGUAACGAAGCUAACGCGAUAAGUAGACCGCCUGGGGAGUACGGCCGCAAGGUUAAAACUCAAAUGAAUUGACGGGGGCCCGCACAAGCGGUGGAGCAUGUGGUUUAAUUCGAAGCAACGCGAAGAACCUUACCUACUCUUGACAUCCUGCGAACUUGGUAGAGAUACCUUGGUGCCUUCGGGAACGCAGUGACAGGUGCUGCAUGGCUGUCGUCAGCUCGUGCCG
rnacentral:rRNA from 1 species